GAUGAACGCUGGCGGCGUGCCUAAUACAUGCAAGUCGAGCGAACAGACGAGGAGCUUGCUCCUCUGACGUUAGCGGCGGACGGGUGAGUAACACGUGGAUAACCUACCUAUAAGACUGGGAUAACUUCGGGAAACCGGAGCUAAUACCGGAUAAUAUAUUGAACCGCAUGGUUCAAUAGUGAAAGACGGUUUUGCUGUCACUUAUAGAUGGAUCCGCGCCGCAUUAGCUAGUUGGUAAGGUAACGGCUUACCAAGGCAACGAUGCGUAGCCGACCUGAGAGGGUGAUCGGCCACACUGGAACUGAGACACGGUCCAGACUCCUACGGGAGGCAGCAGUAGGGAAUCUUCCGCGAUGGGCGAAAGCAUGACGGAGCAACGCCGCGUGAGUGAUGAAGGUCUUCGGAUCGUAAAACUCUGUUAUUAGGGAAGAACAAAUGUGUAAGUAGCUAUGCACGUCUUGACGGUACCUAAUCAGAAAGCCACGGCUAACUACGUG
rnacentral:rRNA from 1 species